rnacentral:rRNA from 1 species
CACGUAGGCACCAAGCGUUGUCCGGAUUUAUUGGGCGUAAAGAGCUCGUAGGCGGUUCGGUAAGUCGGGUGUGAAAACUUUGGGCUCAACCCAAAGCCUGCACUCGAUACUGCUGUGACUUGAGUCCGGUAGGGGAGUGGGGAAUUCCUGGUGUAGCGGUGGAAUGCGCAGAUAUCAGGAGGAACACCGGUGGCGAAGGCGCCACUCUGGGCCGGUACUGACGCUGAGGAGCGAAAGCUAGGGGAGCAAACGGG